rnacentral:rRNA from 1 species
AGAGUUUGAUCCUGGCUCAGGACGAACGCUGGCGGCGUGCUUUAUACAUGCAAGUCGAACGAUGAAGUCCUUCGGGAAUGGAUUAGUGGCGAACGGGUGAGGAACACGUGAGAAACCUGCCUUUCAUUCUGGGAUAACACCGGGAAACCGGUGCUAAUACCGGAUACUCCAUCUUGGCGGCAUCGCCGAGCUGGGAAAAGAUUUUGAUGAAAGAUGGUCUCGCGGCCUAUCAGCUGGUUGGUGAGGUAAAGGCUCACCAAGGCGACGACGGGUAGCCGGCCUGAGAGGGCGACCGGCCACACUGGGACUGAGACACGGCCCAGACUCCUACGGGAGGCAGCAGUAGGGAAUAUUGGGCAAUGGGCGAAAGCCUGACCCAGCGACGCCGCGUGAGGGAUGAAGGUCUUCGGAUUGUAAACCUCUUUCAGUAGGGAAGAAGCGAAAGUGACGGUACCUAAAGAAGAAGCACCGGCUAACUAUGUGCCAGCAGCCGCGGUAAUACAUAGGGUGCAAGCGUUGUCCGGAAUUAUUGGGCGUAAAGAGCUCGUAGGUCGUUUGUCGCGUCGAUUGUGAAAAUCUGAGGCUCAACCUCAGACCUGCAGUCGAUACGGGCAAACUAGAGUGUGGUAGGGGAGACUGGAAUUCCUGGUGUAGCGGUGGAAUGCGCAGAUAUCAGGAGGAACACCAAUGGCGAAGGCAGGUCUCUGGGCCAUAACUGACACUGAGGAGCGAAAGUGCGGGGAGCGAACAGGAUUAGAUACCCUGGUAGUCCGCACCGUAAACGGUGGGCACUAGUUGUGGGAACCUUCCACGGUUUCCGCGACGCAGCAAACGCAUUAAGUGCCCCGCCUGGGGAGUACGAUCGCAAGAUUAAAACUCAAAGGAAUUGACGG